UAUCAGUAUCGCGUGGGGUUUCAGCAUCAGUAUCCUGAAGGCAAGCAGUUCUCAGUAUCCUGCAAACAAGCAGUUCAGUAUCCUGAAGACAAGCAGUUCAGUAUCCUGAAGGCAAGCAGUUCUCAGUACCCUGAAGGCAAGGAGUUCCCAGUAUCCUGAAGACAAGCAGUUCCCAGUAUCCUGCAAACAAGCAGUUCUCAGUAUCCUGAAGACAAGCAGUUCUCCAAGCAGUCAUCAUGAAAGCAGUGGUUCUCCUGAGUUUGAUGGCAGCAUCAGCUGUUGUUGCUUCAGUCCCAUCACCCCCCGUGUACGCCGGUCAAGCCGAUCCUUAUAAUCAUCAACCCUACUACCCCCACCACCAACACUAUGGCCAGAACCUUCCUUUGACCUACAGCCAUCGAUUCCCCCUCCCCUACGGCCACGACCUCCCUCUCACCUACAGCAAUAGAUUCCCACUCCCUUACAACCAAGGGCUUCCCCCCCGCUACCACGGUCACGCCUACGGUCGUCGCUAGACUUCACGACUGCAGUUUCUGCCCCUGGGAGUCGUUCGGUCUCUUAGUCUCAUGAAGUGGGAUUCAUAUUGAAGUGAAUUAUUACUCUGCUGACUUUCCAGGAUAAUGAUUGGCUUGUGGUGUCUGCCUGAAUUACUAUAAUUUUUUAUAUAUAUAAUUUUGUCUAUUCCUCUCUGAAGACAUUAUAUUUAAUGUUUUUUUAAUUUUUUUUUCUAUUCCUCUGUGGGGACAUUAGUUUUUUUUCUGCUUUUAGAUUACUCUCGCUUUUGUCACUAUGUAUUUACUGACAUUCUCUCUCUCUCUCUCUCUCUCUCUCUCUCUCUCUCUCUCUCUCUCUCUCUCUCUCCACUUACUAUUGUAAAAAAAACAAAUAAAAAAUAAAUCUCACAACAGGAACAA